rnacentral:rRNA from 1 species
UACGAAGGUGGCAAGCGUUGUUCGGAUUUACUGGGCGUACAGGGAGCGUAGGCGGUUGGGUAAGCCCUCCGUGAAAUCUCCGGGCCUAACCCGGAAAGUGCGGAGGGGACUGCUCGGCUAGAGGAUGGGAGAGGAGCGCGGAAUUCCCGGUGUAGCGGUGAAAUGCGUAGAGAUCGGGAGGAAGGCCGGUGGCGAAGGCGGCGCUCUGGACCGGUACUGACGCUCAGGCGCGAAAGCGUGGGGAGCGAUCCGG